UAAAUGGCGUCCUCUUCAGGUUGAGAGUCCAGCCUCCCAACGGAUAGAUUUAUAAUUUGUUACAACAACAAAGACUAGUUCUGCUGCUAUUUCCACUAGAUUCUGUCAUAUGGGUUGGGAGUGAAAACCGAAAAGUGAAAAAAACAGCCCACCGAACUUUGGAGGGUACGUGGCAGCAAUAGAACGAGGCACAGUGUCUUUUGUCGUCCUCGAGCUUAGAAAUGACAAUGGGAUUUGGACCCUUUCGGUUCACCACCGACACUUGGACGGGCUAGAGUGAUCCGAAGAAUAAUACCUCCAGAUUUAUGGUGCCCUUAAUCAUUAAUGCUCACUAUUUGGUGUUUUUGGGGGGGAGUUGGUGUAAAUGUGGUGAAUCGGAAAUGCAUAAAUCGGUGUUUAGAACUCCUAUGUUCCGGUGUGAACUGUAGGAAGACUUUUGCAUCUUUUAAUCCUUGCAUUGGAAUGUGUGGUCCUUUGUAUAAAAUGGGAGACAAGGAAUCCAACAACCUAUCUAUCAUCCAAGAAA